rnacentral:rRNA from 1 species
GAUGAACGCUGGCGGCGUGCCUAAUACAUGCAAGUCGAGCGAACGGACGAGAAGCUUGCUUCUCUGACGUUAGCGGCGGACGGGUGAGUAACACGUGGAUAACCUACCUAUAAGACUGGGAUAACUUCGGGAAACCGGAGCUAAUACCGGAUAAUAUCUUGAACCGCAUGGUUCAAAAGUGAAAGACGGUCUUGCUGUCACUUAUAGAUGGAUCCGCGCUGCAUUAGCUAGUUGGUAAGGUAACGGCUUACCAAGGCAACGAUGCAUAGCCGACCUGAGAGGGUGAUCGGCCACACUGGAACUGAGACACGGUCCAGACUCCUACGGGAGGCAGCAGUAGGGAAUCUUCCGCAAUGGGCGAAAGCCUGACGGAGCAACGCCGCGUGAGUGAUGAAGUUCUUCGGAUCGUAAAACUCUGUUAUUAGGGAAGAACAUAUGUGUAAGUAACUGUGCACAUCUUGACGGUACCUAAUCAGAAAGCCACGGCUAACUACGUG